GACUCGUUCAUACUACAGUGGAUACACCAGAUCCCAUCAGAACUCUGAAGUUAAGCACUGUAAGGCUUGGCUAGUACUGAGGUGGGAGACCGCUCGGGAACACCAGGUGAUGAGUCAG
rnacentral:rRNA from 1 species